rnacentral:rRNA from 1 species
AAUCAACGCUGGCGGCGUGCCUAACACAUGCAAGUCGAACGCGAAAGUGGAGCAAUCCAUGAGUAGAGUGGCAAACGGGUGAGUAACACGUGGGUGACCUGCCUUCGAGUGGGGGAUAACGUCCCGAAAGGGACGCUAAUACCGCAUGACAUCCUGCCUUUGGAAAGGCGGAGAUCAAAGCUGGGGAUCGCAAGACCUGGCGCUUGAAGAGGGGCCCGCGCCUGAUUAGCUAGUUGAUGAGGUAACGGCUCACCAAGGCCACGAUCAGUAUCCGGCCUGAGAGGGCGGGACGGACACACUGGGACUGAGACACGGCCCAGACUCCUACGGGAGGCAGCAGUGGGGAAUUGUUCGCAAUGGGCGCAAGCCUGACGACGCAACGCCGCGUGGAGGACG